AUUGAACGCUGGCGGCAGGCCUAACACGUGCAAGUCGAACGGUAACAGGAAGAAGCUUGCUUCUUUGCUGACGAGUGGCGGACGGGUGAGUAAUGUCUGGGAAACUGCCUGAUGGAGGGGGAUAACUACUGGAAACGGUAGCUAAUACCGCAUAAUGUCGCAAGACCAAAGAGGGGGACCUUCGGGCCUCUUGCCAUCGGAUGUGCCCAGAUGGGAUUAGCUAGUAGGUGGGGUAACGGCUCACCUAGGCGACGAUCCCUAGCUGGUCUGAGAGGAUGACCAGCCACACUGGAACUGAGACACGGUCCAGACUCCUACGGGAGGCAGCAGUGGGGAAUAUUGCACAAUGGGCGCAAGCCUGAUGCAGCUAUGCCGCGUGUAUGAAGAAGGCCUUCGGGUUGUAAAGUACUUUCAGCGGGGAGGAAGGGAGUAAAGUUAAUACCUUUGCUCAUUGACGUUACCCGCAGAAGAAGCACCGGCUAACUCCGUG
rnacentral:rRNA from 1 species